rnacentral:tRNA from 1 species
ACCGUAUGGUGUAAUGGUAAGUGACCCUGACUGCUAUAUAUGCUGAAGGUCCCGGGUUCGAUUCCCGGCCACGGCA